AGAUAUGCUUUCAAAUCUUGGUAAUAUGAUGGUCACUCGAACCCGACUUCGUGAUCGGACUAAGCAUGAAUACUUGAAAGCUGAUUUGGUUGAACAUAUAUGGCAAAA
rnacentral:sRNA from 1 species